AUUGAAACCCUCCACAGAAGAACAGAAGCAGCCUGCGCUGACCUCAGGGACCAGCCUAUAUCCUUGGAAGUCUUUGCUGUUUGGUGCCAAACUGAAGCCAACUACAAUCUAUUUUCUUUUCUGAGAAGGAAUAUUCUGGAAGGAUCUGAUGGGAAGAACUUCUAUGAGUAGUCUUCUGAAUGACUCUCAGAAUAAGGGUUAAAAUCAGGUUGUUAGCAGGAUCCUCAGACGUGACGUGGGGCAUUUCCGUCUUUAAUCCCAAGCUCACUUCCUCCUAUUACAAUGAGACCUUCCAUGUCAUAAGGUGAUAUUUCACAAGAGAAAACCACAGAAACUGUAUGAAACAGUGUGUUUGGAUGAUCAUCAAUUUUGCAGAGGUUGACCCUUCAAGAUAAAAAUCCUCUUGCCUCUCCCCUGCAUGGUUAAAUGGGAAAAUCUGCCAGGACUGAUGAG